rnacentral:lncRNA from 1 species
UGUGUAGGUAGGUUCAGCCUUCAGCAAGGCCAGGCACCAGCAUGAUGGAUAGGUAGGGUUCACUGCAUGCAUGCAUAGGCAGAGAAAUGGACAGGGCAGCAUCAAAUCUCUCUAGGUACAAUGAAAAAAAAGUUGUCUUUCUCUAGCCACACAUUCAAAUUAUGAUUAUGAUUAAGAGGAGGCAGUUGAGAAGAAUUACCAAAGCCGGCCACGAAUUAGAUAUAGUGAUUAUCUCUUGCAUGAUUAGGUAACUGCUGG